GGAGUCGGCGAGGCAAUCGCUGUAGCAAUGCAGAGGAAAGUCCGGGCUCCUUCGGACAGGGCGCCAGGUAACGCCUGGGGGGCGUGAGCCCAUGGAAAGUGCCACAGAAAACAGACCGCCGGCAUUGCCGGUAAGGGUGAAAAGGUGCGGUAAGAGCGCACCGCGCGACUGGUAACAGUUCGCGGCACGGUAAACCCCGCCUGGAGCAAGACCAAAUAGGGGAGUGGAGCGUUAUGCUCACCGUCGGUUCCGAACGGACUCCCGGGUAGGUUGCUAGAGGCUGCUGGUGACAGCGGUCCCAGAUGAAUGGUUGUCGAUGACAGAACCCGGCUUAUUGCUGGCUCCGGCU
rnacentral:RNase_P_RNA from 1 species